rnacentral:rRNA from 1 species
AACGAACGCUGGCGGCAGGCCUAACACAUGCAAGUCGAGCGAGACCUUCGGGUCUAGCGGCGGACGGGUGAGUAACGCGUGGGAACGUGCCCUUUGGUUCGGAAUAGCCCCGGGAAACUGGGAGUAAUACCGGAUAAGCCCUACGGGGGAAAGAUUUAUCGCCAAAGGAUCGGCCCGCGUUGGAUUAGGUAGUUGGUGGGGUAAUGGCCUACCAAGCCGACGAUCCAUAGCUGGUUUGAGAGGAUGAUCAGCCACACUGGGACUGAGACACGGCCCAGAUGCCUACGGGAGGCAGCAGUGGGGAAUCUUAGACAAUGGGGGAAACCCUGAUCUAGCCAUGCCGCGUGAGCGAUGAAGGCCUUAGGGUUGUAAAGCUCUUUCAGUGGGGAAGAUAAUGACUGUACCCACAGAAGAAGCCCCGGCUAACUCCGUGCCAGCCGCCGCUGUAACAC